ensembl:rRNA 5S_rRNA 5S ribosomal RNA
GUCUACAGCCCUACCCCACUGAAUGCUCCUGAUCUUGUGAAGCUAAGCAGGGUCAGGCCUGGAUGGGACUUGGAUGAGAGAUCACCAGGAAAAACCGGGUGCUGUAGGAU